GACGUAGGGCGCGAGCGUUGUCCGGAUUUAUUGGGCGUAAAGAGCUCGUAGGCGGCUUGUCGCGUCAACUGUGAAAACCCGUGGCUCAACCAUGUGGUCUGCAGUCGAUACGGGCAGGCUAGAAUUCGGUAGGGGAGACUGGAAUUCCUGGUGUAGCGGUGAAAUGCGUAGAUAUCAGGAGGAACACCGGUGGCGAAGGCGGGUCUCUGGGCCACUACUGGCGCUGAGAAGCGAAAGCAUGGGGAGCGAACAGG
rnacentral:rRNA from 1 species